CAAUCGCGAUCCAACGAGCUUCGCUCUUAUCGAAGUUAGCGGCGGACGGGUGAGUAACACGUGGGUAACCUGCCCAUAAGACUGGGAUAACUCCGGGAAACCGGGGCUAAUACCGGAUAACAUUUUGAACCGCAUGGUUCGAAAUUGAAAGGCGGCUUCGGCUGUCACUUAUGGAUGGACCCGCGUCGCAUUAGCUAGUUGGUGAGGUAACGGCUCACCAAGGCAACGAUGCGUAGCCGACCUGAGAGGGUGAUCGGCCACACUGGGACUGAGACACGGCCCAGACUCCUACGGGAGGCAGCAGUAGGGAAUCUUCCGCAAUGGACGAAAGUCUGACGGAGCAACGCCGCGUGAGUGAUGAAGGCUUUCGGGUCGUAAAACUCUGUUGUUAGGGAAGAACAAGUGCUAGUUGAAUAAGCUGGCACCUUGACGGUACCUAACCAGAAAGCCACGGCUAACUACGUGCCAGCAGCCGCGGUAAUACGUAG
rnacentral:rRNA from 1 species